rnacentral:rRNA from 1 species
UACGUAGGGGGGCUAGCGUUUGUCCCGGAUUUAUUGGGCGUAAAGAGCGUGUAGGCGGCCAGGUAGGUCUGCUGUGAAAACUCGAGGCUUAACCUCGAGAUGUCGGCGGAAACCAUCUGGCUAGAGUCCGGAAGAGGAGAGUGGAAUUCCUGGUGUAGCGGUGAAAUGCGCAGAUAUCAGGAAGAACACCCGUGGCGAAAGGCGGCUCUCUGGAACGGUACUGACGCUGAGACGCGAAAGCGUGGGGAGCGAACAGG